GAACGGAUAAGUAAAUUGAAAUCACAACUUAUGAAAUCACAACCGAAGGUAAUCAAUUCAUAUUACAAAUAUAAAUCAUGGCUUUGAAUUAACCUCUAGCCAACAUAAAUUUAAUUACACAUUAUUAAAACAGAAAUAAAAGAGAAGUUUGGAAAAAUUAAACCGAAAGAGGAUGAUCUGUUGCUGUGCAGCUUCACUGCGUCGUCAGUACGUGCUCUGUCAGUCACUCCUCUCUCCUGCACGUCCUCUCCUUCUUCCUGACCUCCCGCGCCUCACUUGCCCCGUCAGCCUUCCACGCUGACUGCUUUCCUUCUCAGCUUCUUUCUGCUCGGUUUCCUCUCGAACACAAGCUGCCACGCAGCAGCAAUUGCCGAGCUGCAAGGUCCUUCUAUUUUCAAGGCUGCACAGCAGCCAAGUCCACGUGCUCUCCCUUGUUUCACGCUGCCCAAGCAGCGUUUUUCAGUCUUUUCUCGUGCACAAGCUGCAAGGCAGCAGUGCCCUCUCAAUUGCUGCAAGGGCAGCAGUUUUGCUCGGUUUGUGCUCUCUCUCGCUGCCCAAAGGCAGAUUGUUUAUUUCCUGCGCAAGACAGUCUCUCGGUUUCUCCCCAAUCCCGUGCGCACUCUGCGCUUAUUCCCCCGCAGCUUCUUGCUGCUCUCUUUUCACGCUGCCCCAAAGGGCAGCUCUCCCCCCUCCUUUCUUCACGGAUUUCCACUCUUCUCUGUCUCCUCCUAUCUCCCGCUCCCCAGACCCCCAAUUAUUUUUCUCUCUGCGAACUGCCCAAAGGGCAGUCCCUUCUCCCGCUCCAAGACCCCCUUUCUCUCCCUACCCGUGUCAGUCUUCUUAUUUCAUUCUUUUCCUCUUUUCACGCUACCCCCCGUGUCUCACGUUUCCCUGCUUCUCUUCUUUUCCCCCUGCCAAGGGCCCGUGUCUCCCUUGGAUUCUUCUUUUCUGCCUUUCUUUUCUGGCAGCCUCGCUGCCUUCCCUUUCUUCUCACGUCCUUCCCCAAUUAUCCUUUAUUCUAUUAUUCUUUUCGUUUCUGGUCCCUGCCUUUGCGUCUUGGAUUCCUUCCUUUCCAGCUGCAAAGCAGCUUCCUGUUGUUUUCAGAAGUGAAGAAUAUGGGAGUCAACGAGGUAAAAAAAAUAUAAAUCAUGAUGCUCUCUUGCUCCCUCUUUGACCGACUCUCCCCAUUUCUUUUGUUUAUGCCGUGACAUAAUUCUACCAAUAAUCCAUGACAGAAUGAGAACGACUAAAGCAAUUUUCGACGAAUUUAUUAUUUAAAACUCAUUUGUGCUAUUUUUAUUUUCUUUGCAUAACAACUCCUAUAAACACAAAAAUAACGUAAAUAGCUCAAAAAUAUAAGGAACUAACUAAGAAAAGACGAGUGAAUUCGAAGUAAAAAUAUAUAUAAAUAUGAUCCGAUCAAAUACCCCCACACUUAACUUUUGCUAGUCCUCGAGCAAAACAAAGAAAACAAGAACAAGAAGUAACAAGAAAAAAAAAAAAAAACAUUAGCUUCCCUCUAUGUGACCCUCAUAGAAUUUCAUUUAAGAAAACAAAUUAUCAAGAACCAUAGCUAGCACCAAACAAGUUAAUCCAAGUUCAAAUUCCUAAUUCAAAUAUUAGCAGUAAUCUUUAAAUCAUCCUUGAAGUGUAGUGUGUGAGAUAGUCAUGCUAAUGCAAUUUCAAGUUUUUAUUUUUAAAAUCAUCAUAUGCAAACUAGCGACAUUCUCACGGGAUAUACACUCAAUCACACAUGUGUUUAGUUUAAAUGUGUUUCGCUCAAAGAAUCAAAUGUGAAAUUUCUACCAUAAGCUUGCAUAAAGAUCACUUCUCCACAGUCAUAAUUGCAAAACUUAAAUCAAGAGGACUUUUAUUGGAUGUAAUGAGGCUUAGGGAUAGGGUUAUUGAAACGAAAGAAUAGGAAAACACAAGUUCCAAGCUACAUUGCAAGCAAUUCUUUUGUUUUAGAUUUAUAAGAACUCAAGCUUUCCAACGAUUCUUUUGAAACCUCCAAUCACACCCUUAAACUGAAACUUUAAAAACAUUUUUUUUUUUUUUUCUUUUCUUUUCUUCUCUUUUUUUUUUUUUUUUUUUUUUUUUUUUUUAAAUACAAACAUGAAAUACCCCCACACUUAUUCUUUUGCCAAACACCUUCAAAGUACUUCACAAACAUUUCUCAUAAGACAAUCUCACAUUGCUCGCUUGGAAAGGGUAAGGAAAAAUGUUUCAGGUAUAAGGGUAGACAUAUCUGGUGAUAAGAAAUAAAAGGCUCAACAAACACGGCUCAAAUUGGCAAACUAAUGAUAUCAUUUUUCUUUGGGAAACAUGGUUAUUUGGGCCAUAGUGGUAAACCUAAUGCCUCUAUCAUUUCCAAGUUCAUGCAAUCAAUGACAAACAUUUCGAAAGAUCGUUACGCAAGUUCUAGAGAUGUAUCUCACAUAAGUUCAUCACACAUGAAAGAAUAGGAGUGUAUGAAAAAUGCACACAGUUUCAAUCGGCUCAAAAACUCACAUAGGAUGUAUAUGGUCACUAAAUUCACAUAUGAAGCUUUAAGUCAUACUUUAGUUUCACAUUAACAAGGCUAUGUGCAUUUGGUUUUUCAAAGAUGAUCAAACAUGUACAAAACUAACAAAAGAAUUAGGAAUUUCACAAAACACAUGUUAACUAAGUUCUUGAUGAUCAUGGUUCAAAUUUUUUUCAAUUAUAUCAUUGGGUCGGGAAACUAACAAAAAUCUAAUUCAAAACAAUAAGGAAAACAAGACAAUAUUUUUGGAUUUUUAAAUUUUCCGAAUUUUUUUUUUUUUUUUUAAUUUUUAAUUUUUUUUUUUUUUUUUUUUUUUUAAUUUUUUUUUUUUUUUUUUUUUAAAAGAAAACAAAACUAAUUAAGAACACAAAAAAAACAACACAGAGACAAAUGAAAUUCUAGAGAUUUCUACCCCCACACUUAAACUUGACAUUGUCCCCAAUGUCAGAAAACACUAUAAUGCAAAUAAAAAAUAAAAUAAAAUAAAUAAAUAAUAAGAAACAAAAUAACGCAAUUGGACUGAAAACUUCCCUAAUUUGCAGUAAAAUCAAGCGAUGACCCCCAAGCUAAAAUUCUGCAAUCAACUUCAAGGGUGGAAAUAACCAAAAGUUCCUGCAAAGAAAAGAAAUAAUUCAGUUAAGUACGCAAGAAAAUUAAUUAAAAAAAAAUUGCAAACGAAAAAUUGAAAAUUACGAUAAAAGAUAAUGAAUAAAACUAAUAAGUAAUCAUUGGUCGUGCUUGUUGACUUUCCACAGCUUUCCUCUUGAACGGGGUGACACUUAGCUUUUUACUAUUUGAUGAUAUUGUACGGCGGAGCUUUGCUCUUUGGUGAUGUUGCAGUUCCUUAUUUGUUCUCCAAGCAGAUGUGGCAGCUUCUCUAGUUCUUCAUCUCAGACUCCUUCUGCUGGGAUGAUUGUGCAAGCUGCAUUCUUCUCUGCUUGUUUCCUCUGCAUGGCGGGCAGGCACGAGGGAGAGGUGUUGGUCUGUUUCUUUCUUCAAUCUUUCCAAGUGCCCACCUCUUGCUCUCUUUCUCCUUGUCCUUAGUUGAGGAUGAAUCAGCACGUUGUCUCCACAUGCUUCGAGGUAUCAUCUUCACUUCCCUUAUACGUAAGAGACGAAGAGGAAACACAAGAUGAUGAGUACUCGAGAGCAAGUGCUGGCUGGAGAAAGGACAGGGAGAAAGCAUGAUAUGAGAUACUCUUGCUUUCAACCUUCAUGAUAUGAAAUACUUUUGCUUUGAAUGGGUUGUUCGCAGGAGUAUCCCAAGGAAUGAGGAACACAGAGUAACUUAGGAGGAUUCUUUGGGAAUGCAUUUUCGGAGAUGAAGAAGUGUUGAGAGGGUGUGCUGAGAGAGUGUGCUUUUGCUGUGGAAGGCGAAGGUAGAAACUUAUAGGGCUUUUCUUCACAACCGGAACUAUUCUCUCACUCAUUGUCGGCAGCCGGUGGAUGGAUGAAUAGUACACAUUACGCGCUUUCUGACAAAGCUGCCCGUAAUUUCCGCAAAGCAGAUUCCUCAUUGAUAUCUGGAAUCGGCGCUUCGAGCUCUGAGCAACGUCGAUUGUAGAGGUAGCAUGUGACACGUGCGGAUAAAUCUGGAAAAGAAGAUUUGCCCGUGGGUUGAAGCCCAGCUUUUGAGAAAGCUAGCGUGUCUUUGACUGUUGAAUUUCCCUCUUCGAUUUCUGAAUUGGUGCUUCGACAAACUGCCCGAGAAUUUCGCAAAGCAAUUUACGUGUGACAAGUGACGACACGUCUGGACAAAUUGAUCUUUUGAAAUCCGGGGUUCGGCUCGUGGUUUCUGAGCAAGCCCAGCCUUUAAGAAAUGAAACGCCUCUUUUGAGAAAAGAAUCCGGCUUUUGAGAAAGGAGCCCCGACUCUUCGAUUUGCGAGAGGACGCUUCUCUGAGGAGCGCCUCUCCGAUUUCUUCUUUUUAUAGAGGCGUUAAGCUUGUUCCACAACACACUUGAGCACCCUCCUGUAAACACUCUCUUCUUGCACUUGUUUAAUCUUGAUCAUUCCGACUCUCUUCUUUCUUCACCACCUCUGAAAAAUGUCUGGCCCUUCCGAUCGUCGUUUUGACUUGAACAUUGGUGAAGAGGCAGCUCCGCCUUCACCAGACAAUAUAUGGCGCCCAUCCUUCAUAUCCCCUACCGGUCCUCUUACCGUGGGGGAUUCGGUGAUAAAAAAUGACAUGACCGCUGCGGUGGUGGCCCGAAACCUUGUCACUCCCAGAGAUAACCGACUGCUCGCUAGACGGUCUGAUGAGUUGGCUGUGAAGGAGUCUCUGGCUCUUAGCGUGCAGUGUGCGAGUUCCGUAUCCAACAUGGCCCAACGCCUAUAUGCCCGAACCCGUCACGUUGAAUCGUUGGUGGCUGAAAUACAGAGUCUCAAAGAGGAGAUUAGAGGACUCAAGCAUGAAAAUAAACAAUUGCACAAGCUUGCACACAACUAUGCCACAACCAUGAAGAGGAAGAUUGACCAGAUGCAGGACACCGAUGGUCAAAUUUUACUUGAUCAUCGGAGGUUUGUGGGUUUGUUCCAACCGCAUCUGCCUUCGUCUUCUGGAGCGGCACCGCGUAGUGAAGCUCCAACUGAUCAACCUCUGCCGCCUCCUCCUUCUGUGGCCCCGCCGACUGCUGAAGCCCCGCCGACUGCUGAAGCACCACCCGACCAAUGAAUACUAUUAGUUUACAUUAUUGUAAAAUAUUUGCAUUUUUUUUUUUUUUUUUUUUUUUAUUUUUUUUUUUUUUUUUUUUUUUUUUUUUUUUUUUUUUUUGCAUUAAUUUUAAAUUUUAUCUUUUUUUUUUUUUUUUUUUUUUUUUUUUUUAAUGUGUAAAUUAAUGUAAAGAGACUUUGGUUAACCUUCCCUCACACUUAAACUAAAUAACACAAACUCACAGAAAUCAACCAAUUAACACAACUAACUAAACAAAACAAAAUGAAAGCAGUAAAGAUAAGGGUGGAAGAAUGCAAAGCUGAUUGGGUUAGUGAUUCCAAAGUCUCCCUUCGUUGAAUGCUUGGGUUGCCUCCCAAGAAGCGCUUGAUUUAACGUCUUUAGCCGGACGCAUCUUUCCUUUAAAUUUCCCUCGGCUCCAUUUGAACCUAAAAUCAAAGAAAGAAAAAUAAAUCAAAUAUCAAAAGUAAAAUACACAAACACCAAUAUAAACAUAAACAAAAACAAAAAUAAAAGGAUUAGCAAAGUUGCUAAUCCCCGGCAACGGCGCCAAAAUUUGAUGCGAAAUAUAUAAGCACACAAAUUAAACCCUCUUUUUGACAAUUGUAGUAUAGAUGUAAGUAGGGUAUCGUUCUAGGCCGGGGAUUAGGAGGGAUUGCUAAUCUAUUCUAAAUUAAUUUAAAAAUAUUAAACAAGACUCAAGGAUACAAAACUAGGCUAAAAACUCUAAUAACUCGAAACACACUUAAAAUGACUCAAAAUAAUGAAAACAAUUAAAUUAAACACUAGGAACUGAAAUGGAUGGAAAUUAAAUUAAAAGACUAACAAUAAAGAAAACUAAAUAAAUAAUAUAAUUUAAUAAUGGAUGGGUGUUUGGUUUUGACUAGAAGUAAAUUAAACUUAAAUAAAUUACAGAAUUGACAAAAACAUGAAAUUAAGGUGAAAUGAUAAAUGACGGACUAGCUAGAGGGUUCUUCUCCACACAUGACACAUAUGCAACCUAAAUUGAUUUUCAGUUGUUCUUUCAAUAAAUUGUAGUAUCUCAAUACUCCAGAUUAACCGUGAACAGCACUUUUUUAAUCUUCAAGUUUUCCUUAAGUUAUUGAAUUGGACGGGAAAACGCAUACAACAAUUCAAAACAUUCUUCAAAAGUCCCCUACGUGGAAAGCACAAUAGAGAUACAAUCAAAGAUCAUUAAACUUUGUGAAAACUAUAAGCAUUGACGAGGCAUUCGUAAUUAUGAAAAGCAUGAUACUCUUGCCAAGAAUUUACUUAACGUGAUUGUGACUAGCAACCUUUACUACUUGUGAAAAUAAGUUCAUAACGAUUAGGUGAAAUUCACUUAUAUUCUAGCAUCAAAUUCAUGCAUGUGAAUUAAGCGUGCACUCUCAACCAACAUACACAAAUCAGUUUUUAUACGAACGGAUAAGUAAAUUGAAAUCACAACUUAUGAAAUCACAACCGAAGGUAAUCAAUUCAUAUUACAAAUAUAAAUCAUGGCUUUGAAUUAACCUCUAGCCAACAUAAAUUUAAUUACACAUUAUUAAAACAGAAAUAAAAGAGAAGUUUGGAAAAAUUAAACCGAAAGAGGAUGAUCUGUUGCUGUGCAGCUUCACUGCGUCGUCAGUACGUGCUCUGUCAGUCACUCCUCUCUCCUGCACGUCCUCUCCUUCUUCCUGACCUCCCGCGCCUCACUUGCCCCGUCAGCCUUCCACGCUGACUGCUUUCCUUCUCAGCUUCUUUCUGCUCGGUUUCCUCUCGAACACAAGCUGCCACGCAGCAGCAAUUGCCGAGCUGCAAGGUCCUUCUAUUUUCAAGGCUGCACAGCAGCCAAGUCCACGUGCUCUCCCUUGUUUCACGCUGCCCAAGCAGCGUUUUUCAGUCUUUUCUCGUGCACAAGCUGCAAGGCAGCAGUGCCCUCUCAAUUGCUGCAAGGGCAGCAGUUUUGCUCGGUUUGUGCUCUCUCUCGCUGCCCAAAGGCAGAUUGUUUAUUUCCUGCGCAAGACAGUCUCUCGGUUUCUCCCCAAUCCCGUGCGCACUCUGCGCUUAUUCCCCCGCAGCUUCUUGCUGCUCUCUUUUCACGCUGCCCCAAAGGGCAGCUCUCCCCCCUCCUUUCUUCACGGAUUUCCACUCUUCUCUGUCUCCUCCUAUCUCCCGCUCCCCAGACCCCCAAUUAUUUUUCUCUCUGCGAACUGCCCAAAGGGCAGUCCCUUCU
rnacentral:lncRNA from 1 species